rnacentral:lncRNA from 1 species
CCCUGACGAUCCAAUCUGAAUCGGAUUUUUUCCUUCAACUAGUAUUAGAGCCAGGUUCUAGGAUAUGGAUGCAUAGUUGAUUUUUUAUGAUAUGUUUACAUUUGAUAUAUAAUCAGAUUUUUUUGUGAGAAAUUAAAUUUGAUUUGAACCUGUUUAUCUGAAUUUUUCUGAUCUAGUUUUGAUCAGAUUUUAGGAUUCAAAUCAAUGGUUGAUUGAG